CCCCUUCCUGUUAAGCUCUGUUGUCAGACUUGUCAGUCAGGUUCAGUGUAGGUAGCAGAAUUAAAACUUCCAUGUGCCAAGCAAGUAGAGGAACUACAGUGGCUGAUGCUACGUGACGUGCUGACCCAUAAACACAUAGACGCCGCACUGACUGUGGAGGGACGUGCCCAAAGCGCCGCCAUCUUGGUAACUGUACAGGACCAGCAGAGGCGGUAGUGCGUGCACAUCUAUGAAGGAAAGAGCCAGGAGGAGCUACAGGCCCUCAGCCAGGAGGAGCCGCAGGCCCUCAGAUGAAAAGGACUCCCCAAAAGCCAAAGAUGUGUGACAGCAGGACCUUGUCAAAGAAAAGUAGCACACCUGGCAGGAGCAACUUGGUCCCAACAGAGAGUACACAGCCAGGAGGAGCUGCAGGCCCUCAGCCAGGAGGAGCUACAGUCUCUCAGCCAGGUGGAGCUACAGUCUCUCAGCCAGGUGGAGCUACAGGCCCUCAGCCAGGAGGAGCUACAGGCCCUCAGCCAGGUGGAGCUACAGGCCCUCAGCCAGGAGGAGCUACAGGCCCUCAGCCAG